UUCAAUCCGUCCGUUUGUUUUGAAUAAAAAUAAUCUUAAUGGUUAAAUCGGGAAGUUCAAUUGGACUAACCGAAUAAGCUACUUUUCUUUUACUGAAUUACUCCUAAGCCCACUGAAUGAAUUUUUCAUACAUGUUACCCUUCUUUUACACUUCUCGGUGAUCUUCUUCAUCACCGAUUCAAUUUUUGAGUGAUUGUGUAUAUGAGAGAAAAAAAUAAAAUUUUUGAAGCUAAAAAUUUGAGAUUUACA
rnacentral:lncRNA from 1 species